GCUGAUUAUAGCUUCCUGCUACAGCUAACAUGUAUGCUGUAUUGAUUCCUCAGUCUUGUGGCUAUACCUUCACUACAGCCAUCCAUGAAUCCCGACAAAGGAAGGCCAGUUUUGAGUGUCAGUAAGAAGAUAAAUGUGAAGCGCAUAGCUGCCUGCGCCACAGAAACCAGCACAGCGCGAGGACAGAAUGGAGCAUACGCAGUGAGCCUCACCACUUCAGAGACUUAAACAAACUGGAGGCAUGCUCUGUAAGAUUGGAAAACUAAAAGAAGGAUAAUGGGGAAGUAAGUCCUGAAGUGGGAGUAGAGAGGAAGACAGGGAUGGAAGACAUCCAACAGAAAGGGCAACUACUGGCAUGGGAAGGACCAUCAGAAUGGGACCAAAACCAAGAGGAUAAUGGGAGAUGGGGAUCAAGAAGAGUGUGCAUGGAAACACCACAAUGAAGCCUAUAACUUCUUACACUCUUUAUAAGAACAAUUGUAAAACAAUGUAACUCACUUAGAACUAUGCCUGUGUAUGUAGGAAGCAUGGAGUUCAUCUCAGUUGACAUCACCAUUGCUGUCUGGUUCUAGGCUAUGCUAUGGUUUCUUCUCUUGGACAUAGAUUCUAUUGUAUGUUCCAUUUCUAUCUUUACUUCCAGACUGCAGUCUUGAUGAAUUCAAGGAUACUCCUAUCUAAUUCAUAGUAGUUCCUCAGGAAAUAAUACCUUAGUUGUUUUACACACACACACACAGUUUAAAAUAUUGAAGGAAGAGAAAGUAAAUGAGAUCCAGAUAAAACAGUAGAUGGAAUGAAAAAUUUAGAGAAAAGGGGGUGGAUUUAAAACUCAAACAGAAACAAAAUACUUUAGUCCAAGUAUUGGACAAUUUAAAAAUCAUACAUACUUGUGUAUACAAAGCAUAAUAGUUUGAAAUGUGCAAUGACUGAGCUCAUUAACAUGUAUGCUACCUUCCCUUUUUUAGCUCUCAGAGGUAAGGACAUAUAAAAUCUACUUUCUUAGCAACAUUCAAAACUGCAAUUCAUUGUCACUAACUACUGUCACUAUAUCGUGUGACAGAGACCUUAAAUGCAUUCCACUUUGUUUACUUUGUUUCCCAGCCCUUACUCUGUGACCCUUCAUCCCUGCUCAAGAUUACACUGGAUUUCUUACUGAGUGUGGUGGUCUACACCUCUAAUCCCAGUUGGGAGGCUAAGGCAGGAAGAUCACAAGUUUGAAGCCAGCCUGGGCUAAAUAGUAAGACAAUGCUUUAAAAAAAGCAUGUAAAUAAGCAAAUUCAAUUCCUGCUCAUGUGUUAUAUCAUACUAAAGAAGAAUGUAUUUUUUUAAAGUUACUAACCAACAAAAUUUUAGUAAGAAGACACUGCCCUUUCAAGCUCUGGUAGGAAACAACUACAGAGGGGAUUCUAUAUACAGUUCCCAAGUACACCUUUCUCGUAAACUGGCAUUAACGAUGCACAUGACAUAGGCAAAUAUUAUAUUCAAAUGGCACUGGUGUUCAGUUUCUUGCCAAAUGCCCUGAGAGUCUGAGUGUGCUCUUUGUAUAAAUGUUCUCUCAUGGGCUCAGUGAAUUCUAGGCACAGAUGUCUGUAAAGCCACCUAUAUUUCUGCCAUAAAAGCAACUUUAAAAAAUGUGCUCCACUCGUUUCCAGUCCUCCAGUUAAGGAAGUUGUUAAACACACUUUUUUUCUCCUUUCCUGUAAGCUGCCUUAGCCUUUGAAAUAUUGCGCAGCAGUUGUCCCCACUGGGUGGAGGUGGAGCCAGCAGCUGCAGGCCUGGCUGGGCAGUCAGCCCUUUGGUAUGUUGCUUCCGUUCACUCUGCUGGGGAAGAGCCUACCCAUCCUUCACAUUCCUCCUGAGCAAGUUGUGUCAAAGAAGGGCAAGAGAGGAAGCAAGGCCCAUCCUCCAGGGUAUAAUCAGAAAAGACGGUUCUAAUUAGCUUCUCAGGAUGUUCUUGGUGUCUGCACAGAGCGGCCCUUCCCUCCUGUGGCAUUAGAGUACACCUUGCAUUCUUUAGGAAGCGCAGUUUUGCUCUGUUUGGCACCAACAUUCCUCCAUGUAUUCACACAUAAACAGAGCCACAGCACCUUUCUCUUUCUACUUCUUUCCACAGCUGCAACUAUGUACCGACUUGUAUAACUAUGACUGAUGGCUGUCUGUAUGACGAGGAUUCUAAGUAGGCAGUGAUACGUCUUUUUUUUUUUCUCUAUUGUAUCAAAAGCACCAAGCAAUGUGGUUGACACAUGCUACAUCUUUACUAAAUGGGUGCAAAAUAAAAUAAUGAAU